AACGAACGCUGGCGGCAUGCCUAACACAUGCAAGUCGAACGAGACCUUCGGGUCUAGUGGCGCACGGGUGCGUAACGCGUGGGAACCUGCCCUUAGGUUCGGAAUAACUCCCCGAAAGGGGUGCUAAUACCGGAUAAUGUCUUCGGACCAAAGAUUUAUCGCCUUUGGAUGGGCCCGCGUUGGAUUAGCUAGUUGGUAGGGUAAAAGCCUACCAAGGCGACGAUCCGUAGCUGGUCUGAGAGGAUGAUCAGCCACACUGGGACUGAGACACGGCCCAGACUCCUACGGGAGGCAGCAGUGGGGAAUAUUGGACAAUGGGCGAAAGCCUGAUCCAGCAAUGCCGCGUGAGGGAUGAAGGCCUUAGGGUUGUAAAGCUCUUUUACCCGGGAUGAUAAUGACAGUACCGGGAGAAUAAGCUCCGGCUAACUCCG
rnacentral:rRNA from 1 species